UAUUGUAAAUUAGCAAUCUCUCCGUUCCUCCUCCCCACAGCUACGGGGUUUGUUACAUCCUCAAAGUGGCCCAGUGCGGUGCAGCAAAUCUAAUAAUGUUCCACAGUAGCACAGAAACAGCAACAACUUCCUCCGAACAGCCUCUCAAAACAAGCAGCACUCAGAGUGGCUCACAUUUCACCUCCUAGGACAUGGUGAGCAAGACAGCUCGCAGUGACCUGGAUAGCAGUACCAAACCUUCAAGUUCCUCUGUUGGCGAUAAGAUUAAACACCAGCCCCCGGGGAAAAAAAGGGGACGCCCGUUUGCUUUAUAUUUCUGACGAGCUUAUCUGUGUAACCCGGUGGAAUGCAUUGAACCGACCGCUAAGCAAAACAAAACCGAAAGGUUCGGGACUUUUAACCGAGACUGAUCCUCAACAAAGCCCCGCACGCCUAAUCUUUUAAUAUCAGUGCACACUUCAAUUUACCCUCCCCAUUGAACAAGUUUCCAAGAUGCGGUGGCUCGACUCAGCUCACAAGCUGGACUAUUUAAAAAAAAACACCUUUCAAUCAUGAUUGUUGUUCAUCUGAGCUCAAGCUCUGAGCUCCCGGGAGAAAGGAGGUGGAAAACACAGGUUGGUCGUUUCUUUGAAGUCAAGCGGAAAUAGAUGGAGCAACACGCAGCGUUACUGUCAAAGGAACCAAAGCUAACCGUGCAAACGGCAGGGUGCCUUUGUGAGGGUAAAACUGCAACAAAGAACUGGGGAAGUUGGAGAUCUGAAACAAAAAAAACCACAAAAGUUCUGGAGAAACUCAGCAAGUUUGGCAGCAUCCGUGGGGAAAGGGAGAGAGAGAAAAAAACAAAGAUAGAGUUUCGAGUCCAGUCACCUUCCGUCCCUGUUAAUGUGGGAGUCACGCAGAAAGUAAUUGAACAUGCAUCACGGCCAAAACAUUCACAGGACCCUGCAGCAUGAUGACUUCAAGUGUAAUAGCGAAUCACUUAUUUCCAAUGUCAUUCGGUGAUAUCAUGAUACAAUGUGAUUGUUUUAUUUAGGAGCGAUAGACAUGUGAAUGGAAUCUGAAACUUCGACAAAUUAUGUUCAAUUUCUACCCCAGCGUUAAAGUUGGGAAUGAGACAAUCACUAAAAAAUUUAGGAAUUGCACAGUGAAACUUGCUGCUACAAUGAACUGUUAGUGCAUUUUAGGCGGGGGAGGGCUUGAUGCUCACACAAACCAUCGUCCCUUUUACCUUUCCCUCGUAUGUAAUAAAACCAACUGGAUUUGCACGUGAAAUGCCCAGUAAAUGCCUCUCAGAAAAUUAAAUUAUGAAGUAAUCGAUCACACUCUGUGUAAUGUUGAGCACCACCAAAACACUGCUUUCAGUUUCGUAACUUGCAUCAAGUCUCAUUCAUCUAGCUUUACUCCCUGUUAGGCAAUAGCUCAAUUAUUUGAAUACUCUUCCUAGGUUUCAUACCCCGGUCCAUCACUCCAUGAUUCUGUCAUCUCCUUCAUUCCUUCAAGACGCUAGCUAUUCUCAACUCUAGCUUCUUGAGCACUGUUGAGUAUAAUCACUUCAUCAUUGGCAGUUAUGCCUUUAACCUAACUCCAGAAUUCCUCCCCUUGAAAUAGCUCUGCUUCUCUUCUCUUUGCACCUCUAAUUAGGUUCUAUAAAUGGCUGGGUGUUUAAGUUUGUUUGAGUACUACUCUUCUGAAAUAAUCUGGAGAUGCCGGUGUUGGACUGGGGUGUACAUAGUUAAAAAUCACAAAACACCAGGUUAGAGUCCAACAGGUUUAUUUGGAAUGCUUUGAGCCAUUUUGCUUAGCUGAAGCUCCUACUUAAAUACAAGGUGCUGUUAAUGUCUGCCAAACAAAGCCCCUCAACAAUUUCAAUCAUGGAGUCUUAAUUCUUCAGAGUGAAUUGUUGAAAGAAUUAAAAUUUCCAAACCUUACAGUUUCAAUUUUGUUCCUUUUCUCGUAUGAUCCAAUUAAUCUCUUAUUUCCAUUUCUUUAUCCGAUUUGACACAAACUCUUCCCGCUUCUUUCUCUAAACAAAAUUCUUAAAUCUUGUGGAUUCAUGCAUUUAUAAUACACUCUAGCUCAAAGGCUGUGAGUAGUUUGAUCAAUUACCUUCUGAACAUCCAUAAUUAGAAUUAAGGUUUUUGUUUAAUACCUUAUAUUUGUUUGCAUUUUGUUAUUUUUGUACAAUUGCUGAUCCCACUUAAUUGUCCCAUUACCUUCACUGCACAUACUUCCAAAUGUUACAAAAGACUUUUUACUGAAGAAUGUGGGAUGCCUGUUAUUUGAUAUCAUUGUGUCUAUAAAUAACCACUGGAAAGGGUGGUAGUCUUUUUUUUAAAAGAAAGGUUUAUUUUUAUAAUGGAACUUGGUGACUCAUACGUAGAGAAAAUAAAGAUCAAAAAUAGAUCAAGCAAGAUUUGAACUUCUGC